rnacentral:rRNA from 1 species
CCUACGGGGGGCAGCAGUGAGGAAUAUUGGUCAAUGGGCGAGAGCCUGGACCAGCCAAGUCGCGUGAAGGAUGACGGCCCUACGGGUUGUAAACUUCUUUUGUCAGGGAGCAAUUGGGUCCACGCGUGGGCUUAGCGAGAGUACCUGAAGAAAAAGCAUCGGCUAACUCCGUGCCAGCAGCCGCGGUAAUACGGAGGAUGCGAGCGUUAUCCGGAUUUAUUGGGUUUAAAGGGUGCGUAGGCGGGCUUUUAAGUCAGCGGUAAAAAUUCGGGGCUCAACCCCGUCCGGCCGUUGAAACUGGGGGCCUUGAGUGGGCGAGAAGAAGGCGGAAUGCGUGGUGUAGCGGUGAAAUGCAUAGAUAUCACGCAGAACCCCGAUUGCGAAGGCAGCCUUCCGGCGCCCUACUGACGCUGAGGCACGAAAGUGCGGGGAUCGAACAGGAUUAGAUACCCGGGUAGUC